rnacentral:misc_RNA from 1 species
UACGAAGGGGGCUAGCGUUGUUCGGAAUUACUGGGCGUAAAGCGCACGUAGGCGGACAUUUAAGUCAGGGGUGAAAUCCCGGGGCUCAACCCCGGAACUGCCUUUGAUACUGGGUGUCUAGAGUCCGGAAGAGGUGAGUGGAAUUCCGAGUGUAGAGGUGAAAUUCGUAGAUAUUCGGAGGAACACCAGUGGCGAAGGCGGCUCACUGGUCCGGUACUGACGCUGAGGUGCGAAAGCUAGGGGAGAGAACGGG